CAGGUCUUUCCACCUUGACUGCUGUAAGUCAUGGUAUGCUGCACGGGUGGUGCAGGAGUUCCAUGAUCCAUUCUUUGCAGGAGUAAGGUUUGAACUGGGUGCAGGUCUAUACAUGGGUUGGGGAGCUGCCUGUUUGGCCAUUCUAGGUGGGGUCAUGCUCUGCUGUUCCUGUAAGAGGGGUCCAUCAGUACCAACCACAGGGGGAUAUUCAUACAACUACUCCAAAACAAGUGGUGGACAAAAGAUCUACAGGGGCAGAACAUGUGUCAGAAGUCUGGGAGUUCAAAAGCUUAUGUUUAAAGCAGUUUAAAAUGUUUUUUUUUUUUUUUCAAUCUAAUUGUUUGUUUGUCUGUUUCCAUUUGUUUCUUCACCAAAGUGUGAAUUUACUGGUUUGAAUUUGCCAUUAUAUAUUUUUUGUUGUCUUGAGUCACUGUGAAUAUUAAUGCAAUGUUUAUUACUUUGAAAUGUAUUGAAAAUAAAAACAUUGCUCUGUUGAUGAUUAUUGUUCUAUUGUAUUGGAUAUCCAAAUGAAUGGAAAAUAUAAGCUAUGCCACAACUCCAAAUGAAUGGAAAAGAUACCCACUGGGCACAGACGUCUAAUCCACAUUGGUUUAACGUAAUUUCAUUGAAAUGACGUGGGAAACAACGUUGAUUCAAUCCAGUGUAUAAGAAUCAAAUACAG